GGCAAGGUGGUCGAGUGGUUAAGGCGGCGGCCUGCCAAGGCGUUGGGAUGUUCCAGCGUGAGUCCGAACGUCACUCUUGUCG
rfam:Gregarina niphandrodes unplaced genomic scaffold scaffold00101, whole genome shotgun sequence.